GUCGCUCACCUUGGUCUAUGUGCAUAUUAAACAAAGGACACAAAUGGAUUCAUGACAAAAUUGUAUUUUGGUGAUGGUGAUGUGUUUGAAGUUCUUACUUUACUGAACAUUCUUGCUUCUUACAAUUAUAUCUAUAAUGAACUUUGCCCAUUAGUAACAGAGACUUGCUUAACAAUUUAACUCCUUGUCAGAUUUCCUCUAAAUGAUUUGGUUUCAGAGUUAUAAGCAAAAAACUACAUUUUACCCCUGUUCUAUUUUUAGUCGUGGUGGCCAUCUUGGUUGGAUGGCCAGGUCACGCCACACAUUUUUCAAACAAGGUACCCCAAAGAUGAUUGUGAUUAAGUUUGAAUUAAUUCGGCCCAGUAGUUUCAGAGGAGAAGAUUUUUGUAAAAGAUAACUAAGAUUUACGAAAAAUUGUUAAAAAUUGACUAUAAAGGGCAAUAACUCCUAAAGGGGUCAACUGACCAUUUCGGUCAUGUUGACUUAUUUGUAAAUCUUACUUUGAUGAACAUUAUUGCUGUUUACAGUUUAUCUCUAUCUAUAAUAAUAUUCAAGAUAACCAAAAA
rnacentral:lncRNA from 1 species